GAACUCGAUAGGCACCUCUGCAACGUGUGUUGAAUUGUGCCAUUCUUCAACAGUUCUACAACCCUCUGUUUCCAGCAUCCGUUACACACCAGCUCUCUUUGCGAGGUGGUUUUGUGUUCAGCGUGAGCAUGCAGAGGCAUAGGGGCAGAAGGGGGUAUCGGCAGGCUUUCUUUCUUUUCUGAAGGCACUUUUUUUUCGAAGUGCAGGCCAGAAUCCCUCGCCCGUUGAGUGAGAGAAAGAAAACACACACGCACACACAAAUUCAGGCAAAACGUUCUUGCUGUUCCUGUUGCCCUUCGGCGUCUUCGCUGCCUUCGUGACGUUUUAUUGGCGAAUUCCGUAAAACGGGGUGCAUCUUAUUUUUUUCCUUUGUAAGGAUAGCUUGUCUGCCUCAGCAUCAUCGCGCACUGCAGAAUGCCGCUUGUAAAGGCAGAGACCGAUGCGAGCUUUGUGGCUGAGGUGGCCGAGAACGUUGGCGGCGCUUGCGCUCGCAUGAAUGACCAUAUUUCGGUUAUGAUAGAGGAGUACCUUCGGCGGCGAACACAGCAGGUGCGCGAUGAUGCCAAGCAAGAGCUGGAUGCGGUGCGUGAACACCUGGAGCGAAGGAUUGCGGACGCUGAAGCGGCGAAAGCAGCGGAAGAGGAACGUCAUCACAAGAAGAAGGCGCAAGUGCUGCAGGCCGCAGUGGAAUUGCAGCAGAUGCACGCAAACCUUCACCUCGAGCGCCUCUUUCACACAUGGAGGCGCUGUGCUGAUGUUCGUCGGGAGCGUCGCCGACUCGCCGAGGAGGCUCACGCCCACAUUGGGCGGCUUAACUUAUUUCACGCGUACAUGCAGUGGCGCCUGUUUGCGGCAGCUCUUCGCCAUAAGCGGCUUGAGGCAAAGGAGGUGCACAAACGCGACUGCCGCGAGCAGGAGCUACUUGGGCAGAUUGAGGGGUACCAGAGGCAAUUGGAGGAGGAGAGAGCAAAGGAUGCCAGCUUGAAUGAAAAGCUCAAGGAGGCGUUUGUGCGGGGCAUGUGCGCGUUGAACCGAGAGGCAGUGCAUGUACUUCACGGCUCCGAAGAGAAUCAGGACGCGGAUGUGGAGGCGAUUGCAGAAAUCCUUAGCCGUGAGAGCCAUUCACGGCACCGCUCUGUGACACCGGGCCACAUGGAUAGCUCCACUCUGAGCAACUUGCACGGCCACGGCGUCUGCCCGGUGCACCACAUUGAUGCCAAAGGGAGCUUUUAUCAUCCCUGCUUUUCCCCGGGGUACUGCGAGUAUGAUCGCCACUCAGGUUCGCGUGCCCCAGUAUCUUCUGCGGUCCCACCGAGCGCAUCAGGCCCUUUUGUGGUGCGUGCAGAUCCGAAAAGCGCUCGCUCAAUCGACAGCAGUCCGCCAGUACCGUUCCGCCACCUAUCGAAGUCAUCAACGACACGGUGGAGAAUGUAAAGGGGAGAGACCGAAAUUAUAGACGCAAGAGAGUCACACGCACUGCUGCCCGUGCACGGUGCGUCCUUCUUUCUGCUCCAUCCACAGAUCGCUCGCUUUCGCGCAAAACGUGCUGUUCAUCGCCAAGGCUUCACGGCCUUCGUUUUCCUCGCGCGCGAGAACUCACUGCAGCAUGUACAGGUCUGAGUGGCGUACUUCUUGUUCAGCAAGCCACGGUCGGCUGCUGCGGAAACACCGCCCUCUUCCCGUGGCCGUGUAUUGAAACUGUAUACUUUCACUUGGAUGACGAGUGCACUUGCACUCUCAG
rnacentral:misc_RNA from 1 species